GAAAAUUUUGCAGCAGGAAAAUAUUUAACAGUGAUUUAUGUAACGAAAAAUGAACAAAGUUUAUUAGACUUACAACUACAUCUUUUUGUCCAGUCAAUGCAGAUUGCUCACAAGAAGAGACAGCUAGCAGACUGAUGAAGAUGGCAAUGCAGCACAAAUGUGAAUUUGGUAUUGCCAUGGAACUUCUUUCUCUUCUGUUCACUUAUUAGUGAUUUGAUUGUGAACUUGUGUGUUUUUAAUGGCUUUAAGUAGUUGUUUGCAUGCUCAGCAUAAGGAAAUCUCAUUUAUGAUCAGAUAUUGGAAGAUCCAUAAGAUUGUGAGAUAUUAUUUCAUUUUUGAAACUUUUUCAUAGAAAUAGUCUCUUCACAUAAAUUUACGUGAUUAAUAGGAUUUUCAUUAAAUUAUUUAUUAGAGAUAAUUAAUGAUAUGCAGUAAAUAUAAUAUAGGUGUUUAUUAGAGAUAAUUAAUGAUAUGCAGCAUAUACUAGUCCGAAGAGUAACCCCGACCAUCGAACACCUUAGCUAAAAGGUGAAUUGGCAUAUCAAAAUAAAAAAAAAUACAAAUAAUCGGUUGAUAAUAUCACACUCCCACCAUACUCUCCCUUACUUAUAAUUAUACCACAAAAGUUCGGUCAUUGGUCAAAUUGAUUAGAACGUAAAUCAAAAUUUCUAUAAACUAUAAUGAUCUUAGGUUCGAAUCCCGUCAACUACACAUCAAAAUAAAUUAUUAAUGUAAACACAUAGAAGAGAAUUAUUGAUUAAUAAAACGACAAACUAAUUUCAUUUACUCAAUCUUUUACAUCCACUUAAUAGAUAAUUUUAACUAUCGCCGCAUGAGAUGUAAAUUGAAAUACCUUAUUGAAGACACAACCAUGAUUCCCCAAUUUUACCGACUAAUCGCUACAAGCUUUGCCGGCUUGAUGUCUUAAAUUCGAUUAAUCGCAAAAUAUUUUUCUUAAAUUAAUAUAAUAGGCUUAAUAAAUUAAAUAUUAUUAUAUUAUUUUAAUUUAUCCGAUUAAUACCCUGAUUCAUUAUUCUAAUUAAUUUUUAAUUAUCCGACUAAUUGAUAAACAAUGACUCUUCUGAAUAGUUCAGAUUUUGCUUUUCACACUAUGAAUAAAGGUCAAUAACGCGAAAUUGAACCCCGACCUCUUUAAAGUAAGGAUUCCAAACCAUAAGGUCCAACCAGAUUUAAGAUAUCUUUCUCGCUCAUCAUGUGAAAAAUCAUUAAGAUUUCGUCUUUUUUAAAAUUAACGUCAUAAAUCACUUUCUACUAAUCAAUAUUAAAAAUAAAUAAAAUGCAUACUAAUACAUUCAAAUCAAAAAUGAAGUAUAACAACCAAAUUGAAAUCCAUUUCAACAAACAUACUAAACAUGAUUCUUGAAAACAUGUGUAGUAGACAAACAAGAAGCAUGUCAAUGGCAACUUCUCCUUUUUCCCGGGAGUUUUUGGCCUUAGCUUUUAUUCCCAUUUCAGCCAUGUCUAGCCGGACAGAUUUCUUGUCUUUUGUCUUCUCGGAUAUAUUAAGCAUAAUACUUAGUAAAGUUUCGCAAAGUCUUCUUUCUUCCUUCGAGAUGGAUGUGCACAGGGCAACCACCUCCGAUGCCUCAUGACCACGCACUUACGGUAAUUAACCAGUCUCGUUACAAUUUUGUUCCAUCAAUACAAAUAGAACACACAUUAUAUCCUUUUACAAUGUUCCCCGACAAGUUACCAUUGACUGGAUUGUCACUAAUUGUCCAUAAUAAAAUGACUCAAAGCAAAAAGUACUCCCUCUUAUAUGCAUCAUAAACUUGUUUUCCAGUUCAUAACUUUUGUAAAUUGAAACUAUCGCCGCAUGAGAUGUAAAUUGAAAUACCUUAUUGAAGACACAACCAUGAUUCCCCAAUUUUACCGACUAAUCGCUACAAGCUUUGCCGGCUUGAUGUCUUAAAUUCGAUUAAUCGCAAAAUAUUUUUCUUAAAUUAAUAUAAUAGGCUUAAUAAAUUAAAUAUUAUUAUAUUAUUUUAAUUUAUCCGAUUAAUACCCUGAUUCAUUAUUCUAAUUAAUUUUUAAUUAUCCGACUAAUUGAUAAACAAUGACUCUUCUGAAUAGUUCAGAUUUUGCUUUUCACACUAUGAAUAAAGGUCAAUAACGCGAAAUUGAACCCCGACCUCUUUAAAGUAAGGAUUCCAAACCAUAAGGUCCAACCAGAUUUAAGAUAUCUUUCUCGCUCAUCAUGUGAAAAAUCAUUAAGAUUUCGUCUUUUUUAAAAUUAACGUCAUAAAUCACUUUCUACUAAUCAAUAUUAAAAAUAAAUAAAAUGCAUACUAAUACAUUCAAAUCAAAAAUGAAGUAUAACAACCAAAUUGAAAUCCAUUUCAACAAACAUACUAAACAUGAUUCUUGAAAACAUGUGUAGUAGACAAACAAGAAGCAUGUCAGGUUAAGGAUCUAGGGUUUGUUCACUGCUAAAAUGUAUAUUCCGCCAUGUUCUACUAUCAAGUAUAACUACACAUUUAUUUUCAUUUUUAAACAAAAUAAUUUAAAUUCACAAUUUCUUCAUGCACCACACCAUGUAAGAUUAAUGGAAACCAAAAUGAAGAACUUUACAACACAUAAAAUAACAAAAGACUUGUAAAUACAAAUUGACAAUUAAGAUCGAUCACAAGCGGAAUAGUAAGAUAUUAAAAUAUUUGUCGAAAAAAAUACCUAAACUCAUUUCCAAGGGCCUGCAAAUUUCGCUCAUUCCCUUCUCGCUUGGUUUCAUUAUACAAUCUUUGCAAAUAGAGUAAUACUCGGUCGCAAAGUGAUUUGAAUGGGUAUCUAUUGCAUAUUUAGUAACGGCAGUUUUUUUGGAGUGAUAUGCACGAUAUACAAUUCUGAUCUUGAGUAAUACGCACGCUGUAUAUACAUAAAUGGUUAUAUGUAUGCGGGACAAUAUACAAUGAAUUUUUUUUAAUAUUAAUAUUGAUUUGUCUAUUUUAAUUAUAGGCACACAAUUUUUUUCUAAUCUGAUGGUGUAACUUGUGGUUCCAAGUAUAAAAUAAAUACAUGAAAUCAUUUGUGUAGCCAUGUUUGUAAAUAUUUCUAGCGCAUCAAUUUAAAUAUAAUUAAUGAAAGUAGAAACUCUAAAUAAAAAAUAUAGACAACUCAUUUUAGAAACAAGAAUUAAAACUGAAAAAACACUUAACUAGCUUCUAAAUCUUGGAGGUUUCUCAAAAAUUCCAACCUAAUAAAGUAAAUAACAAACAUAAAUUUCUUUUGCACCAUUAUUAUAUAAAUAAUUUAGUUAAAAAAAUAUAUUGAUUACAUAAUAUAGGAAAUAAUUAUUUUCACAAAGAUUAUUAUAAAACAAUACAAAACAUAUUAAUUAACUCUACUAAGAAGAAAUUAAUAAGAUAAAUUAUAUUAUUAAUAAGAAUUUUUUUUAAAAUUUGUCUCUGCUCGUGCUUCGAACAUGAAAAGGCUAGUAUCAACUUAUCAUAUAUGUUCAAUCAUCAACAUUCAAUCUCUAGCAUUCAUUAUCGUAACGUAUAUUUUAUGUGCACCGAGGAGCACAACUAAUCAUACGUAAUUUCUUUAAUAGCAUAUUUGACUUCUGCGAUGCAAAACACUCUUUGUUCACUCCUCAGAUCCUAUAAGUAAUAAAGCCUGGAGUAUAUGUUACACAUAUUCUCCAUAUUUUAUUUGUAAUUAUGAUAAGGAUGAGACAUAUUAGGCAAAUAUCUUGUCCGGGUCGACGAUGUCCGUUCUGGCAACAGGUUUUUGUCUGGCCUUAUUGACUUGUUUUUCCACUGCAUUAGGGUUCAGCUACAACCGCAGUGUCGCAUAUGUGGUGUCGCACAUGCAGAUUAAAUAUUUCGAGACCCAUGGACUUGCUUCGACUUGGUGUUAGGUUGCGAGAUAUCCCUUUAUGUCAUGCCUCGCUAGAUGAUAUGCAAAGUGAUGCGGAUUCAUCAAGUUAGUUCUUAUUGCAGCGUGGAUAUACAACUUCAAAUGUGGUUGCCUCUCUAGAUGUGAUUAUUAUUAAUUGCACAAAAGAGAUAGCCACAUUUGAAGUUGUAUAUCCACGCUGCAAUAGGAACUGACUUGAUGAAUCUGCAGCACAUUGCAUAUCUAGCGAGGCAUGACAUAAAGGGAUAUCUCGCAACCUAACGCCAAUUCGAAGCAAGUCCAUGGGUCUCGAAAUAUUCAUCUGCAUGUGGACCUACAAAAAAUGGCGAACUAGCAGAUAUCCUUCACGUACUACAGCACAUAAGCGACACUACAAUUGUAGGUGAACCCUAAUGCAGUGAAAAAACAAGGCAAUAAGGCUAGGCAAAAAACUGUUGCAGAACAGACAUCGUCGAUGCGGACAAGGUAUUUGCCUAAGAUGUCUCAUCCUUAUCAUAAUCACAAAUAAUAUAUGGAGAACGUAUGUGUAACAUAUACUCCAUUCUUUAGUAUUAAUAGAAUCUGAGAAAUGAACAAAGAGUUUCAUGCACCACAGAAGUCAAAUAUGCUAUUAAAGAAAUUAGGUAUAAUGAGUUGGCCCGCUCAGAGCAAAUAACAUAUACAUUACAAUAAUGAAUGCUAGAGAUUGAAUGUUAAUGAUUGAACAUAUAUGAUAAGAUGUUACUAGCUUUUUACCUUUUUGAAGCACUAGCCAAGAUAAAUUAAUUUAAAAUUAUUUUUUUAUUAAUAAUAAAAUUUAUCUUAUUAAUCUCAUAAUAGAGUUUAUUAAAAUAUUUUGUAUUGAUUCAUUAUAAUAUUUGUGAAAAUUAAUAUUUGCUAUAUCAUUUAAUCAAUACAUUUUUUUAACUUAAUUAUUUUAUAUAACGGUGUGAAAUAAAUUUACGUAUGUUAUUUACUUUAUUAGUAGGGAAUUUUUGAGAAACCACGGUGUGAAGAAAUGAGUUACAUAUACUUUUUACUAUUUGCAAUAAUGUUAUAAAACAUUACUAUGACGCGUCCUUGAAUGGUGACUUGGCUUGUAAAUAUUGAUACAUAAAUUGCAGAUUAAAGAGUGUGUGAAGCGUGGGAAGGGGAAGGACGCAACAACUAUGAAAAUAAGAGUGUCUGGAACUCCUACUUUGAUGUAUAGGUUGAACGUGUGGUUUAAUAAAACUCAUCUUAACCCUGACAGAAUUAUGUUGAAGAGUUCAAGAAACUCCAGAAGAAAAUGAUCUGGUCACAAAAUAUUUGGUUCCAGUUCUCUAGCUACUGAACGAGAUGGGGUCAUUGACAAAUGGACUAUACUUUAAUUCUGUGACCACACAACAAAUUAGAGCAUCUUCAUUAAACAAGAUGUAAAGAUUGCAACAAAAUGACAGAAACAAAAAAGUUGAUUUGUGCCAUAAUUCACACUGAAAACAAUGAAGACUUCCACAAACAACAAACUCAUAUAGCAUCCAACAAGUGUCACAUGAUUUAGAAAUUAUAUUGAACAAAUUUAACAUACAAGAAUCUUAGUAAAUAUCCAUUUUAGAGACUUGAAAUAUUGAUAAGUAACUCGUCCAAAGAUUAAGCGCGUAAAGACAAUAAUAAAAAUGAAAGAAAAACACUACUGAACAAAGAUAGUACACAGUGUGAUGGACUAGGAGGGCAAAAAGAUAUAUCACAUAAUUGAGACCCUGAUUUAAUGCUAUAUACGUAACUGCCAGGAGUUUCGGUUACGCGCGUAUAAACUGUAUGCCCAAAAAUAAGUAGGUUUAUGGACAAUUUAUAAAGGAUAAAAUAUUAAUAAUCUGGACAAUUUGAUUAGAUUGAAAUGAAUGGUGUCGAUCUUGGACUUCAAUAGUCUAACAUAAACGUUGACUCCAUACAAUUUUUCUCUAGUUUAUUAAUGUAAUUUUUUAAAGGGUGUUGGUGAUGAACAAUCGAUUAUUAGUUAUAUAUGUCCGACGGAAAAAAAAACGUCGGACGAGAGAAAUCCUAAAAUGAGUCAGGUUUCCGGUGGAUGAAACUGUAGCGCCCUUGGAUAUGCAUAAAAAAAUUAAGAUCAAGUCAUCCUGCGGUUUUUUUUCCGCUCAUAAUAUGCCCGAGAUACGAAUAUUUGGGAAGCAGACCCUUUUUUUAAUAUCUCCAUGAUAAAAAAAGAUUUAGGUUUUUAUUCAAUUUUAAUUUUCUUGUACAUUUAAGUUAUGUUGUCAAAUAGUUUAACAGAGAUUUUAGUUUAGUUCAAUAUUACUUUUCAAUUUGAUAUGGUAAAAAAAUUAUAUAUGUAACAUUUUUGUGAGUUGCUAUAUCCCAACCAACCAAUUAUACCCUAUUUAAGUUACAAUAACAUAAUAUAGAUAUAUGAUAAUAUUAAUUAUGUAAAAUUAAUAUUACAAAGACUUAUAAAAACAAAUUGACAAGAUCGAUACACGCGGAGCAAUAAGAUAUUAAAUAUAUUUGUGGAAGAAAAUACCCAAACUCGUUUCCAAGGGCCUUCAAAUUUCGCUCAUUCCCUUUUCGCUCGGUUUCAUUAUACAGUCUUGCAAAUAGAGUAUUACUCAGUCGCAAAUUGAUUUGAAUGAGUAUGUAUUGCAUAUUUAGUAACGGCAGUUUUUUUGGAGUGAUAUGCACGAGAUACAAUUCUGAUCUUGAGUAAUACGCACGUUGUAUAUACAUAAAUGGUUAUAUGUAUGCGGGACAAUCGACAAUAAUUCUUUUUUAAUAUUAAUAUUGAUUUGUCUAUUUUAAUUAUAGCCACACAAUUUUUUUCUAAUCUGAUGGUGUAACUUGUGGUUCCAAGUAGAAUCCAGCUCAAAAAUAAAUACAUGAAAUCAUUUGUGUAGCCAUAUUUGUAAAUAUUUCUAGCGCAUCAAUUUAAAUAUAAUUAAUGAAAGUAUAAACUUUAAAUAAAAAAAUAUAGACAACUCAUUUUAGAAACAAGAAUUAAAACUGAAAAAACACUCAACUUCUAAAUCUUGGAGGUUUCUCAAAAAUUCCAACCUAAUAAAGUAAAUAACAUACAUAAAUUUCUUUUGCCCCAUUAUAUAAAUAAUUAAGUUAAAAAAAUGUAUUGAUUACAUAAUAUAGGAAAUAGUAAUUUUAACAAAGAUUAUUAUAAAACAAUGCAUAUUAAUUAACUCUACUAAGAAGAAAUUAAUAAGAUAAAUAUUAUUAAUAAGAAAAUAAUUUUAAAAUUUGUCUCGGCUCGUGCUUCGAACAUGUAAAAACCUAGUAACAAGUUAUCAUAUAUGUUCUGUCAUCAACAUUCAAUCCCUAGCAUUCAUUAUCGUAACGUAUAUUUUAUGUGCACUGAGGAGCACAACUAAUCAUACGUAAUUUCUUUAAUAGCAUAUUUGACUUCUGCGAUGCAAAACACUCUUUGUUCACUCCUCAGAUCCUAUAAGUAAUAAAGACUGCAGUAUAUGUUACACAUAUUCUCCAUAUUUUAUUUGUAAUUAUGAUAAGGAUGAGACAUAUUAGGCAAAUAUCUUGUCCGAGUCGACGAUGUCCGUUCUGCAACAGGUUUUUGUCUGGCCUUGUUGCCUUGUUUUUUCACUGCAUUAGGUUCAUCAACAACCGCAGUGUCGCAUAUGUGGUGUAGUACGUGAAGGAUAUCUAUUGCUAGUUCGCCAUUUUUUGUAGGUCCACAUGCAGAUGAAUAUUUCGAGACCCGUGGACUUGCUUCGAAUUGGCGUUUGGUUGCGAGAUAUCCCUUUAUGUCAUGCCUCGCGAGAUGAUAUGCAAAGUGAUGCGGAUUCAUCAAGUGAGUUCUUACUGGAGCAUGGAUAUACAACUUCAAAUGUGGCUGCCUCUCUAGAUGUGAUUAUUAUUAAUUGCACAAAAGAGGCAGCCACAUUUGAAGUUGUAUAUCCAUGUUGCAAUAGGAACUGACUUGAUGAAUCUGCAGCACUUUGCAUAUCAUCUAGCGAGGCAUGACAUAAAGGGAUAUCUCGCAACCAAACGCCAAUUCAAAGCAAGUCCACAGGUCUCGAAAUAUUCAUCUGCAUGUGGACCUACAAAAAAUGGCGAAGAAGCAAUAGAUAUCCUUCACGUACUACACCACAUAUGUGACACUACAAUUGUAGGUGAACCCUAAUGCUAGUGAAAAAACAAGGCAAUAAGGCUAGGCAAAAACCUGUUGCAGAACAAACAUUGUCGAUGCGGACAAGGUAUUUGCCUAAGAUGUCUCAUCCUUAUCAAAAUCACAAAUAAAAUAUGGAGAACGUAUGUGUAACAUAUACUCCAGUCUUUAGUAUUAAUAGAAUCUGAGGAAUGAACAAAGAGUUUCCUGCACCACAGAAAUCAAAUAUGCUAUUAAAAAAAUUAGGUAUAAUUAAUUGGCCCGCUCAGAGCAAAUAACAUAUAUGUUAGUAUGUUACAAUAAUGAAUGCUAGAGAUUGAAUGUUAAUGAUAGAACAUAUAUGAUAAGAUGUUACUAGCUUUUUACCUUUUUGAAAAAACUAGACAAGAUAAAUUAAUUUAAAAUUAUUUUCUUAUUAAUACUACUCACAAAAAAAAAGCGUUAACUAAACCCACUAAAAUCAACAUAUGACCAAAGUAAUACUCGAUUUGCAAGACAGUAUAAUUGAACCAAGAGAGAAGGGUAGGGCUGUAAUUCGAGUCGAGCCGGGCGAGUUUCGAGCCGAGCCUAAUUCGAGCCAAGUUUAAUCGAGUCGAGCCGAGCCGGCUCGAUUAACUAAUCGAGCCUAAAUCUUUGCCCGAACUCGACUCGGUUAAUUUCACGAGUCGAGUCGAGCCGGCUCGUUUAGCUAAACGAGCCGGUUUUAACGAGUCGAGCGAGCGAGCUCGUAUAAUUUUAUACUUAAUCGAGCCCAAACCUCUACUCGAACUCGGCUCGUUUAAUUUCACGAGUCGAGUCGAGCCGGCUCGUUUAGCUAAACGAGCCGGUUUUAACGAGUCGAGCGAGCGAGCUCGUAUAAUUUUAUACUUAAUCGAGCCCAAACCUCUACUCGAACUCGGCUCGUUUAAUUUCACGAGUCGAGUCGAGCCGGCUCGUUUAAUUAAACGAGCCAAAACCUUUGCCCGAACCCGGCUCGUUUAACGAGUCGAGUCGAGCCGAGCCCUCUUAAACGAGUUCGAGCCGGGCGAGCUCGCGAGCCGCCCGACUCGAAUUACAGCUCUAGAGAAGGGCAUUGAGCGAAAUUUGCAGGCCCUUGGAAAUGAGUUUAGGUAUUUUCUUCCACAAAAUAUUUUUAGUAUCUUAUUGUUGUGCAUGUAACCGGUCUUGUCAAUUUAUUUUUAUAAAUCUUAUAUUUUUUAUAUUUAUGUGUUGUAAUGUUCUGCAAUUUGGUUUCUAUUAAUCUAACAUGGUGUUGUUCAUCAAGAAACUGUGAAUUAAGGUUAUAUUGUUUGAAAAUGAAAAGAAAUGUGUAGUUAUACUUGAUAGUAAAACAUGUUUGAAUAGACAUUUUAGCAGUAAACAAACCCUAAGAUCCUUAACCUGACAGGCUUCUUGUUUGUGUACUAUACAUGUUUUCAAGUAUCAUGCUGAGUAUGUCUGUUGAAAUGGAUUUCAAUUUGGUUAUUGUACUUCAGUUUUGAUUUGACUCAUUUUGUUUAUUUUUAAUAUUGAUUAGUAUAAAGUUAUUAUGAUCAUGUUGAUUUAAAAAAGACGAAAUCAUAAUGAUUAUUCACAUGAUGAGUGAGAAAGAUGAUAAUUUAGUUACUCAUAAUUUUUCUAUAAUUUUUCUAGAGGCAGUGGCAAAAAAGGCCAUGCAUCAUUAAAGAGGACAAUACGUGCAUCAAAGAACAAUUAACAAAAAUAUUUCUCGUGGAGGCACAUUGGAGGUGAAGGCCGUAAAUAAAGAGAUAACCAGGGGAGAAUAAGUAUAUCUUACUUGAGUUUUUAUUUUAUUUAUUGCCAAAAUAUUAUGCAUUUCAUUAAAAAGCCUUGAUCCAUGCUGGACAAACCCCAAAUCUCGUAAUAUGAUGAGGUUGACAAACAAAUAAAUGACCUAAAUAACUAGCCGUUUUGUUUCCAGAUCGCUUAAUAAAGAGAAUAAAAAUUAUUCUUUAAACUGAAAAAGAUUACAAUGACUUUCCAAAAAACCCAACCUACACCAUCUCUAAAAUCCGUAACAUCAUAAUUGACCUACACAAAAACAUUUUCAUGUAUAAUCUAGUGUUCAGAACUUUCAUUUGCAACAACUGAAAUUGGAGGGACACAUGCCCUCGUAAUAUGAACAAUCUUCCGCUGUGAAAGGUGAGUUUUUGCGAUUUUUACCACCGACCCAAUCUCGAUGUCGGUUUUCAAGAUCCCCGAAACAGCAAUUGAAUCAUUCUCAAUGACAAAAAUAAACAAAUCAAAAAUACCAAAAACAUACCAACCACGACAAACCCCCCCUCCAUAAGGACAAAAAAAACACGCGAAAAGAUUGGGUAGAACAGUAUUCCUUACACAAGAAAGAUAAUUAUUGAAGGAGAUAUAAAAGUUUUGAUUAUUAGAUUGGAGAAAAGAACAUGAAAGUGAAUUUUUAGGAAAGAAGAGGGCUUAAUUGAUGUAGAAAAAGGGUAAAUUUGAACUUUUUUGAGACGGCUAGCUAGGGUUUGGGGAUCGACACUCAUCGAAAGAGAGAGUUUUUGAGUUGAAUAGUAUUGAUCAAGUAAAGUUAGCUAGCAUUCAUUUUUUUAAAUGGCUAAGAAUGUUGAAUACAACUUUUGAUUUGUUUUUAAAACUGCAGUCCAGUAUGCAAAUAUAGUGGAAGACUGGACAUAGCUAAAGUAGAGCGAGUUGCGAAGAAACGAGUGAAAGUAGAGCAAGUUGCGAAGAAAUGAGUUCCAUAUACUUUUUACUAUUUGCAAUAAUGUUAUUCGACAUCACUAUGACGCGUCCUUGAAAGGUGACUUGGCUUCUAUAAAUUGAUACAUAAAUUGCAGACUGAAGAGUGUGUGACGCGUGGGAGGGGGAAGGACGCAGCAAUUAUAAAAAUAAGAGUGUCUGGAACUCCUACUUUGAUGUAUAGGUUGAACGUGUGGUUUAAUAAAACUCAUCUUAACCCUGACAGUAAUAUGUUGAAGAGUUCAAGAAACUCCAGAAGAAAAUGAUCUGGUCAUAAAAUAUUUGGUUCCAGUUCUCUAGCUACUGAACGAGAUGGGGUCAUUGACAAAAGGACUAUACUUUAAUUCUGAGACCACGCAACAAAUUAGAGCAACUUUCAUUAAACAAGAUAUAAGAUUGCAGCAAAAUGACAAAAACAAAAAAGUUGAUUUGUGCCAUAAUUCACAUUGAAAACAAUGAAACUUCCACAAACAACAAACUCAUAUAGCAUCGUUCAUUAAACAAGAUAUAAAGAUUGCAGCAAAAUGACACAAACAAAAAAGUUGAUUUGUGCCAUAAUUCACAUUGAAAACAAUGAAACUUCCACAAACAACAAACUCAUAUAGCAUCCAACAAGUGUCACAUAAUUCAGAAAAUAUAUUGAACAAAUUUAACAUACAAGAAUCUUAGUAAAUAUCCAUUUUAGAGAGACCUGAAAUUUCAAAUAGUAACUUGUCCAAAGAUUAUAAUUAAUCGAGUAAAGACAAUGAUAAAAAUGAAAGAAAAAAAACUGUUGAACAAAGAUAAUACACAGUGUGAUGGACUAGGAGGGCAAAAAGAUAUAUCACAUAAUUGAGACCCUGAUUUAAUUCUAUUUACGUAACAGGAUAAAAUAUUAAUAAUCUGGACAGUUGGAUUAGAUUGAAAUGAAUGGUGUCGAUCUUGGACUUCAAUACUCUAACAAAUACAUUGGCUCCAUACAAUUUUUCUCUAGUAUAUUAAUGUAUUUUUUAAAGGGUGUUGGUGAUGUACAAUCGAUUAUUAGUUAUAUAUGUCCAAUGGAAAAAAAAACUUCGAACGAGAGAAAUCCUAAAAUGAGUCAGGUUUCCGAUGGAUGACACUGUAGCGCC
rnacentral:lncRNA from 1 species